GUGCUCGCUUCGGCAGCACAUAUACUAAGAUUGGAGCGAUGCAGAGAAGACUAGCCCGGCCCCUACACAGGGAGGACAUGCAAAUUCGUGAAGCGUUCCAUAUUUUU
ensembl:snRNA U6 U6 spliceosomal RNA